AUACGGAGGAUCCGAGCGUUAUCCGGAUUUAUUGGGUUUAAAGGGAGCGUAGGUGGAUUGUUAAGUCAGUUGUGAAAGUUUGCGGCUCAACCGUAAAAUUGCAGUUGAAACUGGGAGUCUUGAGUACAGUAGAGGUGGGCGGAAUUCGUGGUGUAGCGGUGAAAUGCUUAGAUAUCACGAAGAACUCCGAUUGCGAAGGCAGCUCACUAGACUGUUACUGACACUGAUGCUCGAAAGUGUUGGUAUCAAACAGGAUUAGAUACCCUGGUAGUCCACACAGUAAACGAUGAAUACUCGCUGUUUGCGAUAUACAGUAAGCGGCCAAGCGAAAGCAUUAAGUAUUCCACCUGGGGAGUACGCCGGCAACGGUGAAACUCAAAGGAAUUGACGGGG
rnacentral:rRNA from 1 species